AUUGAACGCUGGCGGCAUGCCUUACACAUGCAAGUCGAACGGUAACGGGUCCUUCGGGAUGCCGACGAGUGGCGAACGGGUGAGUAAUAUAUCGGAACGUGCCCAGUAGUGGGGGAUAACUGCUCGAAAGGGCAGCUAAUACCGCAUACGACCUGAGGGUGAAGGGGGGGGAUGGCAAGACCUCUCGCUAUUGGACCGGCCGAUAUCAGAUUAGGUAGUUGGUGGGGAAAAGGCCUACCAAGGCAACGAUAGGUGGUGGGGCUGAGAGGACGACCAGCCACACUGGGCCGGAGACACGGCCCAGACUCCUACGGGAGGCAGCAGUGGGGAAUUUUGGACAAGGGGCGCAAGCCUGAUCCAGCCAUGCCGCGUGAGUGAAGAAGGCCUUCGGGUUGUAAAGCUCUUUCGGCCGGGAAGAAAUCGCACGGGCUAAUACCCUGUGUGGAUGACGGUACCGGAAUAAGAAGCACCGGUUAACUACGUGCCAGCAGCCGCCGUAACAC
rnacentral:rRNA from 1 species